UGUUUAGAGUUGUGUGGGGUUGAAUAUUUAUAUUUGUAAUAUUUUAGAAGUUGGUAGAAAAAGAAAAGAAAAAUAGAAAAAUAAAAUAGAAAAGAAAAAAAAAUGAAUGAAAAAAAAAAUAGAAGGAUGUAUACAUGUCAAUACAUACUCCUUAUGAAAAUGAAUAAAAAAAAGAAAAAAAAAAGAAAAAUGAGAAGAAAAAUAUGAAUGAAACUAAU
rnacentral:lncRNA from 1 species